UGGAUGAGUUGCGAACGGGUGAGUAACGCGUAGGUAACCUGCCUGGUAGCGGGGGAUAACUAUUGGAAACGAUAGCUAAUACCGCAUAAAAUUGAUUAUCGCAUGAUAAUCAAUUGAAAGGUGCAAAUGCAUCACUACCAGAUGGACCUGCGUUGUAUUAGCUAGUUGGUGGGGUAACGGCUCACCAAGGCGACGAUACAUAGCCGACCUGAGAGGGUGAUCGGCCACACUGGGACUGAGACACGGCCCAGGCUCCUACGGGAGGCAGCAGUAGGGAAUCUUCGGCAAUGGACGGAAGUCUGACCGAGCAACGCCGCGUGAGUGAAGAAGGUUUUCGGAUCGUAAAGCUCUGUUGUAAGAGAAGAACGAGUGUGAGAGUGGAGAGUUCACACUGUGACGGUAUCUUACCAGAAAGGGACGGCUAACUACGUGCCAGCAGCCGCGGUAAUACGUAGGUCCCGAGCGUUGUCCGGAUUUAUUGGGCGUAAAGCGAGCGCAGGCGGUUAGAUAAGUCUGAAGUUAAAGGCUGUGGCUUAACCAUAGUACGCUUUGGAAACUGUUUAACUUGAGUGCAAGAGGGGAGAGUGGAAUUCCAUGUGUAGCGGUGAAAUGCGUAGAUAUAUGGAGGAACACCAGUG
rnacentral:rRNA from 1 species